UACGAAGGGGGCUAGCGUUGUUCGGAAUUACUGGGCGUAAAGGGCGCGUAGGCGGUCCUGAUCGUCGGAUGUGAAAGGCCUGGGCUCAACCUGGGAAUGGCAUCCGAUACGGCGGGACUGGAGUGUGGGAGAGGUUGGUGGAAUUCCCAGUGUAGAGGUGAAAUUCGUAGAUAUUGGGAAGAACACCGGUGGCGAAGGCGGUUCUCUGGGCCUGUACUGACGCUGAGGAACGAAAGCGUGGGGAGCGAACAGG
rnacentral:rRNA from 1 species